rnacentral:rRNA from 1 species
CAGUAGCCGCGGGAAUACGAGGGGGGCAAGCGUCGUUCGGAAUUAUUGGGCGUAAAGGGUGCGUAGGCGGCUUGACAAGUCUUGUGUGAAAUCUAUGGGCUCAACCCAUAGUCUGCACGGGAAACUGUCGGGCUUGAGAAUGGGAGAGGUGAGUGGAAUUUCCGGUGUAGCGGUGAAAUGCGUAGAUAUCGGAAGGAACACCUGUGGCGAAAGCGGCUCACUGGACCAUUUCUGACGCUGAUGCACGAAAGCUAGGGGAGCAAACAGGAUUAGAUACCCCGGUAGUCCCUGUCUCUUAUAA